AUGAGCCGCUACGAGUAUGAGACCAAUGGUUAUCAUCGGGCAGUGGAGGAUGAGUAUGAGGACGAGUACUAUGAUGAAGAUGAGUACGAGGAGGAAGGCGCAGGAGCUCCUGAGGAGGACGAAGAGCCACCAGAGGGUCAGCAGGAGUUCCUUCAAAUUAGAGAACGAUUGAAGGAGCAGAUUAGGCGGAAGGCACAGGGUACUAGUGCUAGCACAGCUGGUCGCUCAUCUUCCUUGCAUGAUAGAAGACCACCCCCACCCAAUUUUGGCUCCUUCUUUGGGCCCUCCAAGCCGGUGAUUUCCCAGCGUGUGAUUGAAGAAAGGAAGUCAAUGAAAGAGAUACAGAACACAGUGCCCAGAGAACGAAGACCUCCUGGAAAGGACAUCCCAUCAUCUUCGAGAGUGCAAGUGCAAGCUAAAACAAAUGGAUUUCACCAGAAGCAAAAGAUUGUUAAUGAGGCAAAAAAGAAAGCUGAGGCACUUAAGGAUAAUCGGGACUAUUCAUUUCUACUCUCGGAUGAUGCUGACAUUCCAUCUCCUCCAAGGGAAAAACCUGCAGCUAGGCCUUCCUUGACCCAAAAGUCUGAUCGUGAGAUGAUGCAUUCUGCAGCAAAGAGUAGGGCACCAACAAGUCAGCCUGCCAGAUUGCCAAAUGGUCAUGUGUUGAACAACAACACAUCAUCCACACAAAGACGCCCGGAAAGUAAGUUUGAAUCCAAGGGAAAGGAGAUGCUCCCAAGUAGGGAAAGGGCUAUUGACAAUGGAAGGAUGCAUAGUGUUGUUAGAAAUGGGUCCAGCCAGGCCACUGGAAGCAAAGCUGCAAGCCAAAAGUUUCCAAGCAAGGGUCAGAUAGCAAAUAAGCUUUCUAUGAAGGAAGUGAAUGAACAAUCUCUUAGAAAGGAUCAUUUAGCUAGAAAGCAACCUGUGUUACCUAAUGGUCGACCACAGCCCUCACAAAGUCAGAGGAUGCAAUCAGCCUUGUAUGGUCAGAGGCCGCAGCAGUCGUCGCAGAGCCAGAGACCACAACAGUCGUCGCAGAGCCAGAGGCCACAACAGUCGUCGCAGAGCCAGAGGCCACAGCAGUCGUCGCAGAGCCAGAGGCCACAGCAGUCAUCGCAGAGCCAGAGGCCACUGCAGUCACAGAGCCAGAGGCCACUGCAGUCCUCGCAUAGCCAGAGGCAACUGCAGUCGUCACAGCGUGAGAGGCCACUGCAGUCAUCGCAGAGUCAGAGACCACAACAGUCAUCGCAGAGUCAGAGACCGCAACAAUCACUACAGAGACAGAGACCACAGCAAUCUUCACAGUUGCAAUCCUCACAAAGCCAAAGACAGCUGCCACAAAGCAACAGGCCGCAGCAGAUGUUGCAACGGCAAAGGCCUCUUUCCUCGCAAGGUCAUUAUCCUGAGCAAAGAAGAGUCCAAGCAAAUGAUCGAGUAAAACCAUCCGAAAGGCAGGUAAGGACUCCCUCGAAACCUAUGCCAUCUCGACAAGUAUCUGCCAAUGGACGUGAUGAUCGUGCAAAGAAAAAGCAAUUGGGGAAACGAAGGUUUGAUGACGACAUUGAAGAUGAGGAUGAUCCCAUGGCUAUGAUCAGGAGUAUGUUCAGGUAUGACCCUAGUAAAUAUGCAGGCAGAGAUGAUGAUGAUAGUGACAUGGAAGCAGAUUUUGCUACUAUAGAGAUGGAAGAGAAAAGAAGCGCGAGGAUUGCAAGGCAGGAGGACGAAGAGGAGCUCCGCCUGCUCGAGGAAGAAGAGAGGCGCGAGCAGGAGAGGAAGAGGCGGCGGGUAGGCCGAUAG
rnacentral:rRNA from 1 species